rnacentral:lncRNA from 1 species
UUAUUUAAAGUUCCAAGACUUUGUAGACGAAAAAAAAAAAUGGAUACGCAGUCUGAAAACUGAUCUGUCUGUGACCAGAGUCCAUUUCAGAUGACCAGUUACCUGGACAGCCUUAGGCAGGGAGCUCUGCCUUGCUAUUGCCUGUUGUGAGCUAGAACAAUUUAAGGAAGAUUGAAGUAGCCUGUUAUUGGAGCAGCUGGUGAGAGACAGUGGGGUGAGCCAAUGAGACAUGGUUCUUAGAGGCCUUCGUGGAUCUGGGAACAUGGCGCUGGCUUUGGGAAAGGUUAUUACUGACUCUGGCAGACUGAAGGGUCCUCAUUAUUCCUUUCUGGAACCCCUGAAGGAAAGUGAUCUUGUAUUCUGAGAAAAUGCUAUAAUACCAAAGAUAACCAUUUCUAGGCUUUUACUGUGUGCCAGACACUCUGCUUGAUCUAGCUUUAUCAUCUUAGCUUUAAAAUUGAGCCCAGGGAUAUUAAAUAACUUGCCCAAAUUCCUUCCGUGGCCGGUAAGUGGAAACGCCGGACUCUGAUCCUGAGCCCACAAUAGCUCUGUGCUGCCUCUUGGCUUUUUCAGUAGACUAUGAAACAGGAAGGGGUGGGUUCAUCUUUCAAGUGCUAAUGCAACCCUAAGAGAAAGCAAGAAGUGCCAGGCAGGGAGGAAGACGAUCCAGGAUGUAGGAGGAUGGUCCAGGAUGUGGCUGGGAUCAUGUUCUUGGGGGAGGGAGCAUCUAACGUAGUGUCUAUAGGAUAGCAGCUGAGACCCUCCACAUUCUGAGUAUGAGGGUUCCCCCCACGUUGGCCUGGCACUGGAAUUGGCUGAAUUACAGUGUGGAGAUAGCUGGACUUGGCAGCCUAUGAAGGACUCUUUGGUGUGGUGUUACCCAAUGAAAGCAGGAAGUCCAGACACUGUCACUCAGACUGUGGCCCUUCCAACAGGAGCUCUGUUCUGUGUUCCAAGCACACUAACUUUGAACAGGGAGUGCGGCGCUUUCACAAUCACUGAAUGACAAAGGGAGGCAGGUUUGGAAGGAUCUGUACAUGUAGUUCUCAAGAAUGUAACUGGGAGCACCUUUAAAUGUUCAGAUCAUCAUCUGCCUGCAUGGUUCCCAGAGGAACACAGUCUCAAAGGCUUUGAUGCUUUCUAAUGUUAGCACUAAUCUCUCAUUGGCAAGCUCUAAUCCGGAGCUACACAUGGGGUGGGUCUUGGAAAGGAGAGCCUGGCCUCUCUUCUUCAAUGCGAGGCAGACCACCUAUGGAGAAGAUGGGAAAGUCCAGUCGAAUACUGCCCACUCUUCUAGACCUUCCUAUAACCUCAAGUUUUGAAAGCAUUUUUUCCUUGUUCUUCCACUACCCAGAACUCAUGCCCUUGGCUUUCUUGCCUAGGGAAAGAAAUAGGGACCAUUAUAUCUGGAAAAGCUUAGGUGUAUGGUCAAUCAAGGGUGAUUUGUGAAAACAGUUGAGCCCAGUCAUCCGUUAGUGUGCCACCUCAUUCUCAACCCUUUGAUAAAGUGGAAGGUUUCUGAUUGUCAUCAUUGUGAAGAUUAGCAAACAGCACUUCUUGGGAAUAUAUCUUUGCCUCUUCUUUUUUUUUUUUUUUUAAAAAGAUGUUUGUUUUUAUUUCAUGAAUAUGGGUGUUUUAUCUGCAUGUGGGUCUGGACACCAGGUGAGUGCCUGGCUGUCCUGGAGACUAGUAGUGGGAUUUAGGUAUCCUGGAAUUAAAGUGACAGGUGGUUGGUGAGUCACCAUGUUGGUGCUGGGAAGUAAACAUAGGUCCUCCGAAAAAGCAUCAAGUGCCCUUAACUGCUGGGCCAUCUCUCCAGUUUGCCAUCUUCACUGAAUUACUUAGUGUAAAGAAGAUGCCAGUGUGUAUCUUGCUGGUGAAUGCAAAGGUACCGUGCUCCUGACAAGGUUGUACCAUCUCCAGCCAUACCAGCCUGAUCUCCUCUAAGAAGAUUGUGUUGUGUGAAUCACCGUGUGCUCAGCCAAGUUGGUCAAUUGAUGGCAUCAUAGUGCUCUGGUGCUCUGCAUUGGGAGGCUGCCUAGAAAGGUGCUCCAUUAUUCAUGGGUAAUACUUGCCAUGAAGUAAGAAAGGCAGCAAGCAUGUCAUCAACCUGCCUCCCAACCUACACCUAUCCUCCAUCAACUAUCACAUUGCCCCUUCUCCUGUGAGGAGAAGUCACUGACCUAGACUACAGUUGGAUAUAUCAGAAUGCUAUCCACUGCAGACAACAGAAACCAAAUUCAAAUGAGCUGAAGCGGAUAUCUGUAAAUCAAAAGGAGCUCAUUAUUUGAUCAUCUGAAGUAGACAGACACUGUUUCACAUAACU